UUUUUUUUCUUCUUUUUCUUCUCUUCGGUUGGGGUUUGGUUUCUUUUCCCGUCGGUUCCUUUUCGAAAUCUGCCUUGUGGUAUGUUGAAAUGUAAGUGCUGAGAUGAAGAGUUUGAAAUUGUGGGAAUUUUAUUAUUUGAAAGCAAACCUAAUCUGGUAUUCUCUGUGAAAGACUGUUUUAAAAGUCAUACUGUUGUACAGUAGUUUAUGCACUAUUACCCACAACAACAAAAAAUUGUGCCAAACUAUGAACAAGUGACUGUAUUGUAUAUAUUUUUACUUCUCUAUCAACAUUGGGUUGUGAGUGUUUUCUGCAGCUAUGCCUUUUGGUUUUACUAGAAACAUUCCAGUUGUUAAGUACUAACCACCCCCCUUUGAAAGCACCUGUAACUCAUGAUGAAAAUGAUAUCGUUCACUUAUACAACUUACCAAAAGUUUUAUGGACAUGACUAAAAGUGUGCCAAAUUUACUUACCUCAUUUCAUGGAUUCACCCUGUGGUUUAAAGCUCAUAAAGGGAAAAAAAAAAAAAAGGAAAAAAAAGGAAAAAAAAAUGGAAAAAAAAAAAGGGGAAAAAACAAAAAGAAAAAAGGAACUUUGAAACCAAUGCUGGGAAAUGGUAACGUCCUCUCUUUGAAACCAUGAGCGGAAAAACUUCAUGGUGAAGUGUUGAGUUUCAUUACAGGAGAGAGUUGGAAUGGUGGAGGAGUUCAGAAAACCACGGACGGUAAGUUUGCCAGGAACUCAAGUGUCUGCAUCUAGAGACUACAGAACAGCUGCUUUUCAAGUGUCUGUUUUCUUAAAGCAAAACCUGUAGCUGAAGAUCAUUUGAAAUGCAAAGUUACAUUGCUAAUUCUUUGUAUCUCAGUUUUAUAUAUUUUAUAAGAACCUGGGAUAAAUUCUAAAAUAGUUAUAAAAACAGAACUAAUACAUUUCAUACAUUUAUUGCUAUUUCCUUUUCCUUUGAGUAGUUUCUUAACCAUUUUUGAUGCAGAGCCUGUCAAAAGCGCUCUCCUGUCAUAGCUUUGGUGUUUCCUAAAUGUCUAACCUUGCGAUGCCAAUGUCGUUUGAACUUUCAAAAGCGAAGUCAUUAGUUUUAAAUAACGAGACUGAACCUUUUCUUUCAUUCAGUUCAUAAGAUAAGAGAGAAAAAAACAAACAAACAAACAAAACAACCAAGAAACCACGGAGCUAUUUGUGAUCUCACCGAUCGAUCAGGGCCGGAUCAUACCUGACUGGACUUUUAUUAAGACAGCGUUAAGUAUUGAAUGCUAAAUGUAUUCUCAAAAAAAAGGCCUUAUUUGUAACCCUACUCACCACACCCUCGCCCUCCAAGAGAAUAACCAACCCAACAAAGAUCUAUUUUCCUUGUGCAACUGAGAGCCUGUGCAUUUUGCUGCUGAUUUCUUAACGAAACCUUGAUAUGCAAGAGCCCUGCUAACUGGGAGCUAUUGGGAGCAGAGGGACGCGAGGCUUGGACACGUUUAUGCAAUAGAAAACCAUGAGGAAGAGGAGCCUUAAUAGCAGUGGGGCAGAUCCCGUUCUCGGCACGGUCAGGAGCGUAGAGGUGGUGUUUUGCAGAGGACAGGACUUAGACUGGGGUUUCCUUACAAGAAGGGUGGGUUUUUUUCAGCCCACGCGCAAGGGAAAACAGCAGAAUUGUUUUACGUUAAUUUAGGGGGGAAAAAAAAAACAAAAAAGCAGACUGAACACUUCAAAUUGAAGUGGAUUUGCAGAGUGUUGAUUUUAGAAUCGAAGUGUUUUCGGCGCUCGCAGAUCUUGAGGUGUCGCUUGGGCUCAGCUCUGCAAUCCCGGGGAGAACAGCACAGUAAUUGCGUUGCGUUUUAUUUACCAGAGGAAAGAAGGAACUCUGAAAAAAAUCGUAAUUCUGAAAACCGUCCUAGAAGUUUGUUUAUUCCAUGAAAAACUGAAGCGUUGGCGUUGCCCGGAGCGAGUUGCUCCGGAUGAGAGCGGUCCCUGGGCACCCCACAGGUUGCUGCAUCCCGCCCCGGCUCUGGCUCCAGGAGGGAGAUCCAGAAGAUGCUCAGGAUUUGUUUUGGAGAGGAGAGCUGUGCUAGGGCUCCAUCCCUGGGCGUUCACCUUGCCUGCAGCCACCACGCUCUCCCCUGCUUCCCCAGCAGCUGUAUUUUCUAUCCGUAGGGUCAUCAGAUACUACAAGCUCUGGCCACCGCCGUGGUGUUGGUGUAUCCCAUUUUUUUCCAGCAUUCCUCACAUGCUGCAGGACAAAGGGGCUGCCGGCUCCCUUCUUUCAGAUGUUCAGGCUGCUCCUAUGGAGACAGGUCAGGUCCAGGGCUGGGAUGCUGCACGGCCCUUUUUUUUUUGACCCAGAACCGUUGUUUGAAAGCACAUUUCGACUGGCCUCCACUGUGCUCCUUACGCGUAUGAUGAAUAUGGGACUCGUAAUAAAUACCUGGUACUGAACCAGAUAGCAAUAUUUAUUGCAUUUGAGAAAUGUGCAAUAGGGCAUGAAGAUAAGGCAUAAAACGUAUCGACUAUUUUAUUAUAUGUUAGAAAUCCAUGAAUACCCAGCUAGAUGUGUCAGGACAGUGUUAAUCACAAAUACCAGCUGCCUUGUUGCUCUCUCCUUCAGUCCUUCUGCUGCUCCAAUUUCGCUGCCAUCUUCGCUGGUCACCCCGUGCCCUGCCAAAAAUCUCUGACCAGGGAGAUGUUAAAGAGCCAGAUCUCUCCCAGUGUGGCACUGGCCCUUCUCUCUGUCUGAAAAAGUGAUCGCUCUUCUGAUUGACCCCAAAAUUCAGAAAUUGCCUUGAGCCAACUAUUUGCCCUCCUUCCUUUUGAACUUUAGAGUCAUAGAAUCAUAGAAUAGUUUGGGCUGGACCUUUAAAGGUCAUCUAGGCCAGCCCCCCUUCACUAAGGAGGGAAAUCUUCAACUAGACCAAGUUGCUCAAAGCUCCGUCCAACCUGACCUUGAAUGUUUCCAGGGAUGGGGCAUCUACCACCUCUCUGGGCAACCUGGGCCAGUGUUUUACCACCCUCAUCCUAAAAAAAUUUCUUCCUUGAGUCCCUCUUGGCAGGGCUGCUCUCUAGCCUGGACUGAUACCAGGGGUUGCCCUGACCCAGGUGCGGGACCCUGCACUUGGCCUUGUUGAACUUCAUGAUGUUCACAUGGGCCUACUUCUUGCGCUUGCCCAAGUCCCUCUGGAUGGCAUCCCCUCCCUCAGGCUUGUCACCUGCACCACUCAGCUUAGUGUCAUCUGCAAACUUGAUCCCACUGUUUUUGCCAUUGAUGAAGAUACUAAACAGUACAGGUCCCAGUACAGACCCCUAAGGGACGCCAUGGACACCAUUUGUCACCGAUCUCCAUCUGGACAUUGAGCCGUUGACCACUACCCUCUGGAUGUGACCUUCCAACCAAUUCCUCAUCCACAGAACAGUCCACCCAUCAAAUCCAUAUCUCUAUGAUUAAGAAAGAAGGCUGUUGUGAGGGAUUCUGUCAAAGGCCUUACAGAAGUCCAGAUAGACAACAACCGUAGCUCUUCUCCACCAACACAGUCACUCCAUCGUAGAAGGCCACUAGGUUGGUCAGGCAGGACUUGCCAUUGAUGAAGCCACGCUGGCUGUUUCAAAUCACCUCCCUGUCCUCCAUGUACUUCAGCACAGCUUCUAGGAGGAUCUGUUCCGUCAUCUUCCCAGGCACAGAGGUGAGGUUAACAGGUUGGUAGUUCCCAGCGUCCUCCUUUCUACCCUUGUUAAAGAUGGGCGCAGUGUUUCCUUUUUUCCAGCCACCAGGACCUUCACCCAACUGCUAUGACUUUUCAAAUAUCAUGGAGAGUGGCAUGGCAACUCCGUCAACCAGUUCCCUCACCACUCUGGGAUGCAUCUCAUCAGGUACCAUAGAAUUCUGUAUUUUCAGGUUCCUCAGGUGGUCAUGAACUGGAUCUUCUCUUACAGUGGGAGGGACUUUGCUCCCCGAGUUGUGGUCCAUCCACUUGAGAUGUGGGGAGAGAGGUGGUUGGUGAAGGCUGAGGCAGAGAAGUUGUUGAGUCCCUCAGCCUUCUCCUCAUCCAUCGUUACCAGUUUGCCAGUCUUGCUCAUCAGGGGAUACGCUUUCUUUUUCCUUCCUUUUCUGGCUGACGUACCUGUCGAAGCCCUUAUUAUUAUUCUUUGUGUCCCUCGCCAAGUUUAGCUCAAGCUGCACCUUGGCCUUCCUGCUCCCAUCCCAACACCCGAGCAUCAUCCCUACACUCUUCCCAGGACAUCUGUCCCUUCUACCACUGCCUGUGCAUUUCCUUCUGGGCCUUCAGUUUGACCAGCAGGUCUCCACUCAGCCAUGCCCUUCUCUUGCCUUCCUUUUCUCACUUCUUACACUGGGGAUCGAGUGCUCCUGCGCUCUCUGGAAAGCAUCCUUAAAGCUCUGCCAGCUCUGUCCUGCUCCCGUGUCCCUGACAGGAGCUUCCCAGAGGGUCCCAUUGACGAACUUCUGGAAGAGCUGGAAGUUUGCUUUCCUGAAAUUCAUCUCCGCCCGCCUAUCGCUACCUCAAGGUUUUCAUCACUUCCCACUUUUCCUCAUUCCUUGCCAUACGAGCUCCCCUUUUCCACUUGCCCUUCUUCUCAGAAUUGGUGAUUUUUUUGUUUUUCACGGCGCUGCUCCCAGCUGUGGAAGGGCCGGGACCUUGGUCCCAUCCAUCCCUGCCCACCCCGUGCUUCCCCAUGUUGGCUCCCAUCUUGGCUUAUCCUCUUGCUGAGUCCUCAUAGACUUCCAGGCUCCUCUCCCAUCUUCUCGUUGGGCUCCUGAAUGUUCAGGGUGAUUAACCCAAGCCAGACAAAAGACGUUUAUUCCACAGCAUCUCUUAAAGUCUUUUCUACUUCAUCUGGUUUCACUCCUACUCUAGAGGUGUCCCACUGGGUGCCCUAUGAGAGGACCAGUCUCAGUGAUGCCGCUCUCCUGCGCCCCGCGGUGCUGGCACACUGUGGUUUGGGCGGCUUGUAAUCGGCAGGAAAAUUAGGAAGCAGAAACCAGAUGCUCACAAAGGAAGGUCAUAAAAAUCCAUCUGAGAGGAGAACAACGGGGGGCAGCUCGGGGUGAGGCCCUGGCUCUCGCUCCACCUCCAAGCCAGAGGCAGGAGAUGAUGCCUGGGAGCAGGGGCAGGAGCACAGGUCUCCUGCAGUUUGGGAAAGCACCCGGUUCCCUGCAUCAACUAUGUGGUGUGGAGGGAUGAUGUCCUGCAGAAAAAAACCCCUACAGCGACCUAGCAGUAGCCAGCCCACCCCAAUGGCCAUAGUUUGGCGAGAGGUACUUGCAUAUAGAGGUUUUGUAAAUAGAAAUAUUAUCAGUGAUGGGGAUUCUAGUAAUCGGGUGUUUUGGUUUUUUUUUGAAAAAAAGUCUUACCAGGGUUACACCUCGCUUUCCUUUUUAUAAGCAGAAGGGGAUUUUUUUGAAAAAAACAGCUCGAGAAUCAUGACUUGCAGACCGGAUUUCCCCAGGUGUUUUGGGAGGAGGAGGUUGGUGGCACCCAGGGCUGUCCCUGGCUGGUGAUGCCCUGUCCUGCCCCGGCCAGGUCUGCGCCCAGAGGAAAAGCCAAGUUUGGCUUCAGCCCGGCAGUGGUUGCUUUGCCAAAACCAUUCCCACCCGGCUUGCUUUUUUUAAGGAUUGCGGUUAUUUUUGUCGGCAUUACGGCUCAAAUGAGCCAGGAACCAAAAUAAAGAUGUUUUAAGCAUUUUUCAUCCUUUACCUGCUGGACCAUAUUCUUCUUUCCUGAAGGUCCCAAUCGAGCAAAGCCACUUGGAUGGGAGCUGGCUCCCGGGGGCUCCUGCUCCCCAAGUGCUUUCCUUUUCCGUUGGCGUUAAGUCCCAAAAAAACCCCAACAAACUCCCUUGAAGUCAGUGUAAGUGAGAAGAGGAUCAGGUGCGUGGACUUCAGUUGGUGCAGGAUCAGGCCCUCGGUCUUAGUUUCUCAACUCGGUGUGUUGGACUUUGCCUGUGCAGCUCCCAGGGGGUCCAGUGGGAGUUGCACGGUUCAAGGCGCUGACAUCUAUUUGAGAAUGUGCCUCUUUAUCUCUUCAGCGUUGAGAAAUAAUGUAAAAAAAAAAAAAAAAAAAAAAAAAAAAAAAAAAAGGAAAAAAAAGGAAAAAAAAGGAAAAAGAAUACAAAAAUAAACAAAGUUACAAUGUCUGUGGUAGAAGCAAGGCUUUUCAAAUCUGUUUCUCAGGUAAACAAGUGACACUAAUGACAGUGGAGUAACAGCCAUCUAAGGGAAUUGGGAUCUAAAGCAGGAGGAUGCCCUCCAUCUCGCAGGAUGCUUGGGUUGCCAGACACGUUUACUGAGCCUUUGAACACUCGGUGCGAAAGGAAACCAGAAGUAAAAUGGGUAUUCACCACUACCCUCCGCUAGCCAGACAAACGUCCAUUUCUAAAGCACAAAGGGAAGACUUAAAACCUAGACCAACCCACCCAGACACAUAACACACUCUCACACGAAAAAAAAAAAAAAAAAAAAAAAGCAAGGUACCAGUUAAAACUCCUUUUGUCUCUUAACUCCCGGUGGGAAGCAGGGUAGAAAUCCAAGGAGCUGCUCUGUUCCGCUGCCCGCGGCGCCGGCCGGGGCACCUCGACUGCUGCCUCCAGAGAUGUGAAUGUACUGCUCCUUGAGUUCCCUUCCAUAGAACUAGAGGCACCUCGUUAGGAAGUUGCUCCUGUUUUAUGGUGCUAAAGAAAACUUUUAUUCCCCCCUCCCCCCUCCUCGAGCGUUUAAGAACUAUUAAAUGGCCCUUUUUAUGAAUGUAACAUAUCCAUUUCUGUUCCACAUUUUACACUGCAAUUUUAACAUGUUUGGAAAUGAUUUGCCUUUUUUCUUUUAGAAUAAGCUUUAUAAAUAUUCUGUAGAGUCAAUUGAAGUAUAAUUCUUAAGGAUCACUCUAAGACGCCUACAAAAUCUUGUAUAUUUUUAAGUGUGCCAAUUUGUAAAAUAUUUUGUAAGUGUAUAUUUUUCUUAGAAAAGUGCUGUGAAGUGUUUGUAUGUGUGAGGUUUCCCUUUUUUUGCACCUUCGGGUGUUAAUAAAAGGAUGUAUACUUAAAAGUUUCUGGUUUUAAAAACCAAAAUACAAAGAAAAAAAUUAAACUUUUGUUGGGAAUUUUGUAAUAAAAAGAAAUGUUGUGAAA